UUAGGAGACUGCCCAGAAAAUUUUGUAAUAUUAAUCCAAAAGAUUAUUCAAUCCAUAACAGAACAGUUGCGCUGGUGCAAAGUUUGAUGUUGCUUGCAAGAAUGUGGAAUCCAGAGUCCACAAAGUUCAUCUUGUGGCUUAGAUAUACUUACAAGUGAUUGUACUGCAAAAAUGGUGUUACAUUAACCAUGCCCUACACUAUAUGAGUCAUCCAGCUCAGGUGCUCGCUCGCUCAGUAUAUGUACCAUAUAGUGAGGGAUAGGGGCUGUAUCUUUCGCACGAAAGAAUGAUUCAUCUUUGUUCGCACGAAUCCGCCGAUGGCGCAAGCAUCACUAUAAGGUUCAUGCAGGCUUAUGAAUGAGAAAGUUUGGAGUGCUUUGAGGCUGUGUA
rnacentral:lncRNA from 1 species